rnacentral:rRNA from 1 species
UAACGCGAAGAACCUUACCUGGGCUCGAAGCGCAGUGGACCGGGGUAGAAAUAUCCCUUUCCGCAAGGACUGCUGCGGAGGUGCUGCAUGGCUGUCGUCAGCUCGUGUCGUGAGAUGUUGGGUUAAGUCCCGCAACGAGCGCAACCCUUAUCUCCAGUUGCUACCAUUUAGUUGAGCACUCUGGCGAAACCGCCUCGGAUAACGGGGAGGAAGGUGGGGAUGACGUCAAGUCCUCAUGGCCUUUAUGUCCAGGGCUACACACGUGCUACAAUGGCCGGUACAAACCGUUGCAAACCCGCGAGGGGGAGCUAAUCGGAAAAAGCCGGCCUCAGUUCGGAUUGCAGUCUGCAACUCGACUGCAUGAAGCUGGAAUCGCUAGUAAUCGCGGAUCAGAACGCCGCGGUGAAUACGUUCCCGGGCCUUGUCACACCGA